AACUUCAAACAGAUCAACAUCUCCAUAAUUGAAGAGAAAGUAGAAACAAAAACCAACAGCAAUUCGCAAUUUCAAAGAACAAGUGCCAUACAGAAUGAUUUACUUGUCUCCAAAGAGAAAAUUCCUUCCCUUUUUGGCCAUGAGUUAGCAGGAAAGGAGUGCCAAUAGGAAAACACUACACUGUGUAGCCACCCUAUAUAUCCAUAUAUAGUUCUAAUUUUAGUCUAUGCUUAGAUAAGUCAAAGGAAGGUGUCUAACAUGAAAUGGCAUUUGGUCCACUCUUUAGAACAUAAUCUGGAACAUACUUGCUAUGACAAACUGGAACAAAAAUGCAAAGCAAUGAGCAGUGGGAAAU
rnacentral:misc_RNA from 1 species